rnacentral:rRNA from 1 species
UUAAAUUAAUAAGGGCACAUAGUGGAUGCCUUGGCAUUAGAAGACGAUGAAGGACGCGACAAACAGCGAUAUGCUUCGGGGAGCAGUAAGUAUGCUUUGAUCCGGAGAUUUCCGAAUGGGGAAACCCACUAGCUACGGCUAGUACCCUAGAAUGAAUACAUAGUUCUAGAGGAGGCAACCCAGGGAACUGAAACAUCUUAGUACCUGGAGGAAAAGAAAGAAAAUCGAUUACCUUAGUAGUGGCGAGCGAAACGGUAAUAGCCCAAACCAACCUUUGGGUUGGGGUUGUAGGACACUAUAUACGGAGUUACAAAGUUUCUUGAUAGCAGAACAUUUUGGAAAAUUUGGCUGGAAAGGGUGAAAGCCCCGUAUGCGAAAUCAUGAAAUCUCUUUAGUGUAUCCUGAGUACGACGGGACACGUGAAAUCUUGUCGGAAUCUGCGAGGACCAUCUCGCAAGGCUAAAUACUCUCUAAUGACCGAUAGUGAACAAGUACCGUGAGGGAAAGGUGAAAAGAACCCCGGGAGGGGAGUGAAAUAGAAUACUGAAACUAUGUGCUUACAAAAAGUUCGAGCCCGUUAAUGGGUGAGAGCGUGCCUUUUGCAGAAUGAGCCGGCGAGUUAUGGUAUUGUGCAAGGUUAAGUGGAAUACACGGAGCCGAAGCGAAAGCGAGUCUUAAUAGGGCGCUUUAGUACAAUGCUGUAGACCCGAAACCGAGUGAUCUAGCCAUGAGCAGGCUGAAGUGGGGGUAACACCUCAUGGAGGGCCGAACCAGGACACGUUGUAAAGUGUUUGGAUGACUUGUGGCUAGCGGUGAAAUUCCAAUCGAACUCGGAGAUAGCUGGUUCUCCCCGAAAUAGGUUUAGGCCUAGCCUCGGAUAUUGCAGCCUGGAGGUAGAGCACUGAAUAUGCGAUGGCCCCGUCUAGGGGUACUGAGUGUAAUCAACCUCCGAAUGCCAGGUGUUGUAGAUCCGGGAGUCAGUGUAUGAGGUGAUAACGUCCAUACGCGAGAGGAAAACAAUCCAGACCAUCAGCUAAGGUCCCAAAAUAUAUGUUAAGUGGGAAAGGAUGUGGAGUCGCACGAACAGCUAGGAGGUUGGCUUAGAAGCAGCCACCCUUUAAAGAGUGCGUAAUAGCUCACUAGUCGAGUGGCUCUGCGCCGAAAAUGUACCGGGGCUAAACAUAUUACCGAAGCUAUGGAUUUGUACUUGUACAAAUGGUAGGGGAGCGUUCUAAAUGCGCUGAAGAUAGAUCGUGAGGACUAUUGGAGCGUUUAGAAGUGAGAAUGCCGGUGUGAGUAACGUUAGGUAGGUGAGAAUCCUACCCACCGUUUGACCAAGGUUUCCAGGGUAAAGUUCGUCUUCCCUGGGUUAGUCAGGACCUAAGGCGAGGCUGAAAAGCGUAGUCGAUGGACAACAGGUUUAUAUUCCUGUACUGCUUAUAAGACUGAUGGAGUGACGGAGAAAGCUAAGAAAUGCCUGUUAUUGGAUUCAGGUUUAAGCGCUUAGGCUGAUACAUAGGAAAAUCCGUGAUAUCGUUCAAGCUGAAACGUGAUGACGACGUGGUCUACGGACCGCUAAGAUUUCUGACGCUAUGCUUCCAAGAAAAACUUCUAAAGAUAUGUUAUAAGUACCUGUACCGAGAACCGACACAGGUGGUCAAGGAGAGAAUCCUAAGGUGAGCGAGAGAACUAUGGUUAAGGAACUCGGCAAAAUGACCCCGUAACUUCGGAAUAAGGGGAGGUUUCUUUUGAAACCCGCAGUGAAUUGUCCCAGGCAACUGUUUACCAAAAACACAGGUCUCUGCUAAAGCGUAAGCUGAUGUAUAGGGGCUGACGCCUGCCCAGUGCUGGAAGGUUAAGAGGAUAUGUUAGAUAGAGGAAACUCGGUGAUUCGAAGCAUUGAAUUGAAGCCCCAGUGAACGGCGGCCGUAACUAUAACGGUCCUAAGGUAGCGAAAUUCCUUGUCAGGUAAG